AUGCAGGGCCACUUAUACAUGUCUUGUUGUCCUCACAGACUCUCUAGCGGCUCCAGGAAUCCGUGGGAUUCUCGUGGAGGAGGUUUGAGUUGCAUCUUAGAACAUGGAUCUUCUAUGUUCUUCCAGACUCAGGGCAGGCAUGGCCAUGGUGGGAACGACACCUUCUUGAGAUGGGAUGAAGGCAGGAGAUUCUGUCAUAGGAAGCUCAUGAUCAUUUCCGGUCUCAGCUGGUUGAGAGAAACCCAUUCUUCGCCAGCCAAAUCCUCUGCUGAUCAAACACACCUUGCUGUCAACAUGGACGACCAGGCUAAUUUGAGGUAUGGCAUCCACUCCUCUUCUUGAACUUGUGGCCUGAGCUCGAAUGACAGUGGCUGGAAGAGCCACAGCCAUUGUUUUAUGCAGUGAUUGUUGUUCCAAACAUACUAUAUCGGAUUAACCCCCAACUGAAUCCACUUCGAGGCCCCUGAAGAUGAGGCCUUUAAGAGAGAUUAGAUGUAAGCAGAACACAAAGGUGUGAAGACAUUGCCAAGGACAAGUCGCUUUGCCCACAAUUCUGGAUGUCCUUAUUUUGCAAGGUAAGGGUUUGGACUGCAGAAUUCCCGUAAGAGGCCUCCUUCCAGCUCCUGGAAGAUCCUAGAUUUGGAGUAUCCCCGCUGUUGGAGACUGAAUGCUUGUUCCAAGCCCACCUCCUCACCCCUCACCUUCCUACCCCCACCACCCGCUACCCUGUCCCAAUCCACGUGCUGAACCCCUAACUUGCAAUGUGCUGUUAUUUGGAGAUGGAUUCCUGGGGGUAAUAAUUAAAUCUAGAUGAGAUUAUGAGGGUGAAGCCCUCCUGAUGGGGUCAGCCUUGCAGGUUUGGUUUGGUUUGGUUUUGCUUUUUAGGGCCGCACCUGUGGCAUUUGGAAGUUGCCAGGCAACAGGUCAAGUUGGAAAUGCAGCUGCCAGCCAACACCACAGCCACAGCCAUGUGGGAUCCUUAACCCACUGAGUGAGGCCAGGGAUUGAACCCUCGUCCUCACGGAUACUAGUUGGGUUCAUUAACUCUGAGCCACAAGGGAAAGACGCCAGAGUGAGCACGUGCAUGUGCAUGUGUGUGCACGUGCAUGAGAGAGACACACACAGGCAGGUGCACUGCCAUGCACCAUGGCAGCUGUCUUGCCAGCCUGAAAAGGCUUCACCAAGAACCUAAUCUCCUGGCACCUUGAUCUGAGAUACCCAGGCUUAGAACUGUGAAGGAAUGAACUUCUCCUGCCGAAGCCCCAGCCUCACACCCCCAGUCUGUGGUAUUUUUGUUUCAGCAGCUGGUGCUGACUCAUCCAACUGCCCAGGAAUGAAAUGCUCGCAGGGAGCCGAACUCAGUGAAGCCUGGCCUUUUCACCAGCUCCGCAUCCCUUCAACACAUACUGAAGUCCUGCGUGCUUAUGAGCUGCUCCACCUGGGCUGCACACUGAGGACUUCAGAGAAAUAAACACAGUCUCUGCCUUCCAGGAACCUGCAGGCCAGCAGGGGUGACAGCCAUGCAGGCUCCGCUUUGUUAUAAAUACCUGAAGAUACUGCAGGGGGCGCAGGUCAGGACAAUGAGGGGAGGUAGGAGACACUUUGACAUGGGAGUUAUUCAUAAAGCACCUCAACGAGGCUCCUCAGACCUUUUUUUCCUUUUAAUUUUAUUCUUAUUAUUUUUUUUGUCUUUUUAGGGCCGCACCCACUGCAUAUGGAGGUUCCCAGGCUAGGGGUCUAAUUGGAGCCAGAGGCCUACACCAUAGCCACGCAGGAUCCGAGCUGCAUCUGCGACCUGCACCAUAGCUCACUGCAACACUGGAUCCUUAACCCACUGAGUGAGGUCAGGGAUCGAACCUGCAACCUCAUGGUUCCUAGUCGGAUUCGUUUCUGCUGUGCCACGACAGGAACUCCUCUUCCCUCUUUUUUAAUGAUACAUGUUCUGCAGGGACUGAGGACAGCAGUGGGGAAGCCAGGCCCUGAUGAGAAGUGGGAGCACCACGACUCCCUGUCUAAUUAGGGACUUUGUGCAGUGGCCACGUCUUACCCCAAAGUGGGCCAUUUCUGGCCCUUCUUUUUUUUUUUUUUUUUGACUUUUUUUUUUAAUUACUCAAAUGAAUUUAUCACAUCUGUAGUUGUAUAAUGAUCAUAACAAUCUGAUUUCACAGGAUUUCCAUCCCACAGCCCAGGCACUUCCCCCCACCCCCCAAACUGUCUCCUCCGGAGACCAUAAGUUUUUCAAUGUCUGUGAGUCAGCAUCUGUUCUGCAAAGAAGUUCCGUCUGUCCUUUUUUUCAGAUCCCACAUGUCCGUGAAAGCAUUUGAUGUUGGUGUCUUAUUGCAUGGCUGACUUCACUUAGCAUGAUAAUUUCUAGGUCCAUCCAUGUUGCUAAAAAUGCGGAUAUUUCCUUCUUUGUAAUGGCUGAGUAAUAUUCCCUUGUGUAUAUGUACCACAUCUUCUUGAUCCACUCCUCUGUCGAUGGACAUUUAGGUUGUUUCCAUGUCUUGGCUACUGUAAUUAGUGCUGCAAUGAACAUUGAAGUACAUGUGUCUUUGCGAGUCCUGGUUUUCUCUGGAUCCGGUCCCUCUUCUUAAACGCACUCUCCUCACCUGGGGACUUGAGCAAUUUCGGCAAACACAACCCCAGGGAAGCCCUAAGGGAGGGUAGGGGCCCAGGCAGGGCGCCUUAGGAAGGCCGCUCCUGGGCUCCCUCCAGUCCCCAGGGCAGGGAAAAUGGUCGUGGGCCCGAGGGGCAAGUGGAAGUGGGUGGGAAAGACGGUGACGGAGCCGAGGGAACCCGUGUGGGCAGG
rnacentral:lncRNA from 1 species